AUUGAACGCUGGCGGCAGGCCUAACACAUGCAAGUCGAACGAGUGGCGGACGGGUGAGUAAUGUCUGGGAAACUGCCUGAUGGAGGGGGAUAACUACUGGAAACGGUAGCUAAUACCGCAUACCAUCAGAUGUGCCCAGAUGGGUUUAGCUUGUGGGUGGGGUAACGGCUCACCAAGGCGACGAUCCCUAGCUGCUCUGAGAGGAUGAACAGCCACACUGGAACUGAGACACGGUCCAGACUCCUACGGGAGGCAGAAGUGGGGAAUAUUGCACAAUGGGCGCAAGCCUGAUGCAGCCAUGCCGCGUGGAUGAAGAAGGCCUUCGGGUUGUAAAGUACUUUCAGCGGGGAGGCGUGAAGCGAAGAAGAAGCACCGGCUAACUCCGUGCCAGCAGCCGCGGUAAUAG
rnacentral:rRNA from 1 species